GCAAACUUGGUCAUUUAGAGGAAGUAAAAGUCGUAACAAGGUUUCCGUAGGUGAACCUGCGGAAGGAUCAUUAACGAGUCUUUGAAGUGGGUUUGAUGCUGGCCUUCCCAAAGGCAUGUGCUCGCCCUACUCUCAUCCACUCACACCUGUGCACCUUGACGUACAAGAUCUGACUAUUGGCCCUUAGGGGCAGCCUAGGGAAACUUGGGCUAUGGUUAUUUCUUUGCGUUACUUCUAUACAAACCCUGAAUGUAUUAGAAUGUCUACUGGCCUACGGGCUCUAAUGUUAAUACAACUUUCAACAACGGAUCUCUUGGCUCUCGCAUCGAUGAAGAACGCAGC
rnacentral:misc_RNA from 1 species